UUUUUGUUGAUAGAUGAGUAUUUUUUUAAAUUUUUUGAUCAAUAGUUGUAUUUUUUAAAAAUAAUUCUCAAAAAUUCUAUUUUACGAAAGUUUUCAUUUUUUUCAUAGAAAUAUUGUAGAUUUGGGGUUCUGGUUUAGAAAUUAGGAUAACAAGAAUUUUUGUUGAUACAUGAGUAUUCUUUUAGAUUUUUUGAUCAAUAGUUGUAUUUUUUAAAUAUAAUUCUCAAAAAUUCUAUUUUAGGAAAGUUUUCAUUUUUACAUAGAAAUAUUGUAGAUUUGGUGUUGUGGUUUUGUAAUUAGGAUA
rnacentral:lncRNA from 1 species